UUUAACAUUUAAAAUGUGCUUGAUUUCCUGUCAUAGCUCUUGUUACUUCUGCCUACCUCUUGUGACAGUGUUUUAGACUGACUUCCCACAGGAGCUUACAAAUCAAGCAGGUUAAUGUCUUCAUUAAAACUGAAUAACAGUUUACUUUGGGAAAAAAAAAAAACAUAUUAAAUAUUUCAGGAUAUUGAACACCAAACUACUAUUAAGCUUUAACUAAUGCAUUUACUUUGCUGACACUUGCUCUCCGAUGGGACAUGUAGCUCAAGUUAACGUCACAAGAAGUGAUGUUUAAGGCUUCAAGAGGAAGUGUUUCCAACCCCUUCUAGAUGAUUUUACUCCAAUUCUAUCGCUCUGUACUUGAGAAAAAGUUUUAAAUAAGUUAUUUCAGCAACUUGCCAUCCUUAUUUUGGAAACGUUCUGGGUAUAGAUGUCCCCUCUAAAGUCUGAAAUAACCCUUUCUAUGUCCUAGAUAUAUAUGUGGUAUGUUGUGUAAAGAAAGUGACAGCCUGUUGGCCUCAGGACACGUAAAGAAUGUCCUUAGUACGCUUUGCCUUUGGGAGGAAAAUACAAAGAUUGUCACAAACGGGAAGUCACGUUCACAACGCUUCUGUCACCAGUGCUUGUAAACCCACCUCAAGGUGCCACUGAUGUAGUGGAAGUGGAUCAGCAGAACAGAAGUGGAGGCACGUGGCCAGAACUCUGUCUUGUAUUGCAUCCUGGGCUGAGUGUGUGGACGAUGCAAGCUGGAUGAUGGAGAAGGAAGCAGGGAAUGUGCCUAUGGCACAUAAAGAUACCUGAUUCUCUCAUAAGCUGCAGUUAAUAUCAAUAAACUUUUCAGACUCGGAUAAUCUCCUUUGGAAAAAGGGUGUCUUCACGUUUCUGGACAACUACAGGAGAAGCAGUUUAAGGGCAAAAAAGCAGAAAAUAAUGAACGAUAAGACUGAGAGAUUUGAGCAUAUUGAGGGAGAAGAGACGCAAACCAGAUUUUGCAGCAUCACAGCGCACACUUUAUACAAUGCUAUGCAACAGAGGGAAGUUGCAACGGGUGGCAGAAGGCAAUCUCCAGAAGGCCUGGGAGAGGAGCAGGAAUUCCAGUUUUUGAGCUGAAUUCAGCCGUCCUGCUGCUGCCAAACCUCCGAGCAGGGAGGGGGAGAUGUGGAUGUAAGAAGCAGCACGUAUAUCAGUAUCAGUGCUUGCAGUACAACAGCCCCCGUGCCUGAGGACAGCGAGUGCAACUAAGGACAACGUGGAAUUUAUAAGAGUACCUCACAUGUUGAGAUGCUUUAUAGUCCCCCCUGUGAAUAGCCUAGCAAAAACCAUAUGUGAAAUAUAAAUAUACUGGGACUUAAAAACCAGAGCUGUAUUCCAGCCUUUUAAGUUAAUUUUAUAACAUGCUGCAUCCGAGGGCUUAAUGUGUGUUGUAUGCAGUGCUAGCCGACUAGCACGGGACUUAAUAAAAGCAGUAUGUACUGGAGACACCAGAGGGGCUGGUGGAAAAUGGGGAAAGAAGAUGGUGGAAAUAUCACAUUUUAGCGAAAGAAAGAAUCCAGUUUAAACCAACUGGCUGCUUGUUUCCUUCAGUCAAAAUGCAACAAUGAACUCCUGUUGUCAUGCUGAGUCAGUUGGCAGUGACUCAUUUUAUCAGUCUCAAAAUUGUCCGGCAUUUCAUCAGAACUGGAUUACACAAUGGGUUUUUCCUUUUCCCCCUUUUUUUUUCCCAAUACACUUGUAAUAUUAAUAGGCACAUAAAUCAUCUGACGUUAACAUGUUUCCUCAUUAACUUUUACUUUUUUAAUUAUAAAAUUAGUAAUCAUACAACUUCCCGAAGAGGGAAAUACAGUAAUCCCAAAUCUGACUUGAAAUUAUAAAGUGCAAACUUUCUUAGUUAUGCCCUUCUCUCAGUUAAAAAUAAGUUAAAGCCUUUUGUUACUUUCCACAGGAUAUUGGCAUAGCUAACAUAUGCUCACAAUUGUUCGGCUGAGGUAUGUGUUCUCUAUUGGGUGUGGAGAGAAAAUUUGUAUGUGGCAACAGCAGCCAACAUAUCAGGGUUGAUUUUUCUCCUCAGCAUGACUUUUUUUGGCUAUUUCUGCAAAAGCCUCUUGGAGAAAACACUCAAAUGUAGCAUUUUAUUUGCUCAAACAUUGCUCAUGUGAUGUGAUUUAUUUUGUGGGCAUAUUUAAUCCUUAAACACAAAAAGACCCGUUA